UUAUUGAACCCUGACCCUUAACAAGAACCAGGUGUAUUGGGCUCAUGUUGAAGGUGGAGCUGGUUCUGAGCUCAGAUAAGAUGAAAUAAUCAGACUGUUUCCCUGACAGGAGUGGACUGUGGACCCAUAAAGUCUCCUCUCAGAAGACUGAAGUCCUGCAGCGUGGACUGUGGACCCAGAGAGCUGCGAUGGUCUGAUGGAGGUCCGGUAACUCACCGAGCUCCAUCAGUGUCUUGUCGCGGUCCUGUUGUUGAGGGACGGACAGAUCUGGGACGCAGAGACGAUCAGAGUCCAACAGAAGCAGAAGAAGUUUGGAGGAGCUGAACUUCAGCUGCUGCAGAGCGUCUGAGUCCUCUGUGAUCUGCAGCCAUGUCUCUUUGUGGCUCCGCCCACCGUCACCGGCCUGUCCUCGUCCUCCUCUGUGUCGUGGUGGUGAUGAUGUCACUCCCUGCCUGGGCCCUGGACUCAGAGACGUGUUUCUCCAGGCAGCACCAGAGCGUGACGGUGAACGUGAGGCAGGCCCUGAGCCGAGCGGCGGCCAUGAACCCUCGCCUGGUCCACUCUGAGCCGGACUGUGUUCUCGCCUGCUGCUCCGAGGACGUCCAGCCAGGUUCCCGCUGCAACAUGGCCGUCUUUAAGACCGUCCAACUGUCCAACGAUGAGAACUGUCUCCUGUUCCACUGUCCCACCGAGCUGGACUGUCCCCUGAUGAAGGCUCAGGACGGCACCAACACCUACAACAUCUACAAAGGUCUGACUCAUCCGCCCACGCAGAGGUCUGUAACGAUGACAACCACCGUCCAAUCCACGACCGCGUCCGUACCACCAACCACUGACCACAUCACCACACAGGCUCCGCCCACCACCACACAGGCUCCGCCCACCACCACACAAGCUCCACUCACUAUUACACAUGCUCCACCCACCACAGAACCUCCUCCAGCCAUCCUCAUUGUCACCUCAACACCUGCAGUUAGGUUACCAACGACCACAACAACAACAACAACAACAACAACAACAACAACCGAAGUCUCUCCAACGCUCGACUCAAAGAAACCAAACAAAAGCAGCAAAAAGCAAAACAAAACCACAAAGAAAGGAAAACCACAUCCUGUCAGCACCACCCCCCUCUUCAUGACAUCACUUCCUGUUCUAAUGGUGACCAAAGAGGUGGAGCCUAGAACUAUGGACACCACACAGUCCCACACUGAAACUACAACUACAGCUCCUCCCAAAACUUCUCCCACAACCAUCAAAACUCCUCCUACAACUACAGCUCCUCCCACAAUUCCGCCCACAACCACCACAACUCCGCCCACAACCACCACAACUCUGCCCACAACCACCACAACUCCGCCCACAACGACCACAACUCCUCCUACAACUACAGCUCCGCCCACAACCACCACAACUCUGCCCACAACCACCACAACUCCGCCCACAACCACCACAACUCCUCCUACAACUGCAGCUCCACCCACAACCACCACAACCCUGCCCACCAGCACCACUACUACUCCAACAACUACUCCGCCCCCUCCUGAGUCGAGCAGCCCCACAGCUCCACCCAGUCUCAUCAUCAUUCCCAAAGACAUCUUCCAAUCAGAUCACGUCCUGCAGUCUGGCCACGCCCUCCAGAACUCCAGCACCAGCCAGGGGAAGGGGGCUCAGGGGGCGCUGAGGAGCGGGCUGGUGGUCUUCAUGGUGCUGGGGCUGGCCGUGCUCACGCUGGCCUUGGCGGUGGGCGGGCGGAAGGCGAUGGAGUCCUUUGAUCGGCGCCAUUACACCAGACUGGAGCUGAACGACCUGCACUAUGAGAUCUGAGGCAGGAACCGUCUGCCUUCCUUCUGUGGUUGGUGAAAACUUUACAGCACAACACUGGAGCGGCUCCUCGCACGGCGCUCAGAUACUGAGCUGUGAUUGGUCAGGAGGUCUGCAGGUUUCCUCAGUCUUCUUAAAGGACCGAACCAAUCACGUUCCAUCAGGCCAACCGCCCAUUCAGGAUGGACCCUCCUACUUUGAGAAUGCUCCGCCCCGUUCAGGAUGGACCCUCCUACUUUGAGAAUGCUCCGCCCCCGUUCAGGAUGGACCCUCCUACUUUGAGAAUGCUCCGCCCCCGUUCAGGAUGGACCCUCCUACUUUGAGAAUGCUCCGCCCCUUUGGGUUGCAGAGACCUCUGCUUGGCCCAGCGCGGCCUCCCUCCACCGGGGGGCAGCAGCCUGAAUAUUUCCACAGAUGCUGAUAGUUUGGUCUCGUUUUGUGAAGUGACGCUUUUACAUAAGUUUGAAUUUGAUGUUUUGUUGUAAAGAAUAAUAAAAUUUGUGAUUUUUGAUCA